rnacentral:rRNA from 1 species
UACGGGGGGAGCAAGCGUUGUUCGGAUUUACUGGGCGUAAAGGGCGCGUAGGCGGCCACCGCAGGUCGGUUGUGAAAUCUCCGGGCUUAACCCGGAAAGGUCAACUGAUACUGCGGGGCUAGAGUGCAGAAGGGGCAACUGGAAUUCUCGGUGUAGCGGUGAAAUGCGUAGAUAUCGAGAGGAACAUCUGCGGCGAAGGCGGGUUGCUGGGCUGACACUGACGCUGAGGCGCGAAAGCCAGGGGAGCGAACGGG